rnacentral:misc_RNA from 1 species
AACUUUCGGCAACGGAUCACUUGGCUCUCGCAUCGAUGAAGAACGCAGCGAAAUGCGGUAAGUAAUGUGAAUUGCAGAAUUCAGUGAAUCAUCGAAUCUUUGAACGCACCUUGCGCUCCUUGGUAUUCCGAGGAGCAUGCCUGUUUGAGUGUCAUUAAUAUAAAUAUCAGCCCUCUCUUGUUGAGUGGUUUGGAUGUGGGGGUUUGCUGGCCUCUUAAAGGGGGUUCAGCUCUCCUGAAAUGCAUUAGCAGAACAACCUGUUCAUUGGUGUGAUAACUAUCUACGCUAUUGAAUGUGAAGGGAAGUUCAGCUUUCUAACAGUCCUUGGACAAUUUACAUCAUUAAUGUGACCUCAAAUCAGGUAGGACUACCCGCUGAACUUAAGCAUAUCAAUAAGCGGAGGCU